rfam:Camelus ferus unplaced genomic scaffold scaffold391, whole genome shotgun sequence.
GGAAGGGUACAGCUCAAGUGGUAGAGUGCAUGCCUGGCAAGCACAAGGUCCUGGGUUCAAUCCCCAGUACCUCCU